rnacentral:lncRNA from 1 species
AUAAAAUUUUAUUCUGAUAUAAUUACAAUCGUCUGCUGAUAGCACUAUAUUAUAAGAUGGAUAAUACAUGAAACUUACAUGAUUUUAUUGGGUGAAAUUUACAUACAAAAAAAGGACUAAAAAAUGAAUUUUACAUAAUUUAACGUUGUGAAUUUAAUAUACAUUUACAUGAAAACAACCAGAGCUAAAAAAUAUGAUGAAUUUAGACUGUUAAAUGUAUAUUUUAGUUACAAUUCAUGUUUUCAAUUUCUGUUGUGUUAAUGAUUCUCUGUUUUAGUAAUAGUAUUAGAAUUUAUUUGUAUAAAUUAUUCACAUUAUAAUAAUUUACAAUUAGGCAUCCAGGCCUGAGUUUAUAAGAAAAUAAGAAAGGAAAUUCAAGACAUUUUUUUGUACAAAAUAUUUCUAACUUCUACACUAAAUAUAAAAACCUUAUAAAAUGUGACAGCAGAAGAAAAGAAAAAGAAGAAUAGAGAAUUGAAAUUCAGAAGUUAUCAACUAUACAUUUUAUUACAAAUGCAACUUGUUUUUAUUUGAAUAUGCAGUUUUAAGCAUUGUGUAAUACAUUCUUGUGCAACUCAAUUUAACAAUUCUGGUCAAACUCAAUCCAGAUAGUGUACUUAGUGGAAAUCAUUCAAAUCAAGAAGUUCUAUAUAAGUUAAGUUUCAUUAAUCUUGAAAAUUUUGAAACAGUAACUUUGGUUCUGACAGCAUCUGAUAUCUUUGAUUGCAAAAAACCCAACAUUAAAACAUGUUUGGAACAUAAAAAUUAUACUAAAAGAUAUUUGCAAAAAGUUUGUUUUUUUAAUAAUAAAAAAAAGAAGACAAAUAUCAAUGUCUUAAAUAAAAGAUAAAGAUUAUUUUUGAUUCCUUUUUGUUGUUUGGACAUAAAAUCUUCUGAAAACCCUCUCCUGAAAUAGUGGGACACACAGAACAACAGUGUUUACAAUUGCAUUUCAAAAUUUCAAAAUAUGUUAUUCUUAAAUAAUUUGUGAUAGUCUGUACAAUACAAAUAGGGAUCUAACAACAAUUAUACAAAAGUUAGCUACUUAAAUUUCAACAAUAUCUAAAUACAAAAUCUUUGUAUAAAAUUUAUUGCCUUUAUGUAAUUCGUCUAACAACCAAUUGGUUAAGUAAUCAGCAAUUUACAAAUUAAAAUUCCUUAGGGUCGGAUGUGCCAGACAACCGUCAUCUUUACAUUUGACAAAAAGUGGUUAAAUGUGCAAUAUUUUUCUAUAUACAUGUUGUAUGAUGGUAAAAAAAAAAACCUUGCCAUUUUGAUUUUACCCUCUGGCCAAUUUUUUAAAAUAAAAUAUAAAAAAAUUGAUCUGUACCUAUGGGUUAACACGUCAAUAAAGUUAGCUACAUAUAAAAUAGAAGUUAAAACUAGCCCUUGAUAAUAUUCAAUUGCCUUAUUACAGGUUAACUGUUUAUAAGGUUGUGAAACUUUGAAAGAAAAAUAUUUUGAAUAUCUCCUUGGUUGACUCUUGUAUACAUUUUAUUGUGCUGAUGAUUAGCUCCAUUCCUUUACUAAUUUAUUAAAUAGAAGGCCAUAGAUAAUCUAUUUCAUGCUAAUUUCUAAGAUUAUGACAUUGGCAUUAGCUUAUGAUGUCAUCACAUUCUCUGAUUUAACCUCUCGUAGCUUAAUUCAGAAAAUGAUCACUUCAACAGUUCAAACAAUAAUUUUUGAAAAUAGUAGUAGCUACAUAAUUUUUAGAUUAUAAAGCUGAUUCUCCUUAAUAAAUUCCAAAAGAAAUUCCAAGAAAUCUCAAAUGGUUAAACUCCUUGAAAUGUUUGAAAAAAUCUGUAGAACUGAUGUGCUAAUGAAAUACAUACAAUGUAUAAUUUACAAACGGAAAAAAGUAACAAAAUGUUUUCACCUACAUCUAGAAUAUGAAAAAUCUUUAAAACAUACAACAUCUAUGAAAUGAUCUGAGAACAAAUGACUAAUGUUUGACACAUAAUAACAAAUAUCUAAUAUAAGUUGGUAUAAAAUAUUUAUAAUGUAAAGAUCAUCUGACAGACAAAUUGUACAUUAUUUACAAACUGAAUAAACAUUUCACAAAUAAAACAGGAUUUUGUACAACUUAAAGGUAAAUUUUUAAUAAUUUCUACUAAUUGGUAUCUACUAUGGUAUGUUAUUUGCUAAAAACACCGAGGACUCAUUUAUAGUUCAAUUUAUAUGAGGGCAAAAUGUCAUUCAGCAUCACAACACCCCCUUUCUCUACUUUUACAUCCAAACAGGCUUAAUAACAGUUAAACAUUUACUAUAAAUUUCAAAUAGGAUUCUCUGAAACACAAAAAAUCUUUUUUUCAAACACUUCAAAAUUACAAAACAAAACAAAUAUUCAACAGCAGGUUUGUUUUGAAACUACAUAUUUAACUUUUACUUUAUAAUAUGUAUUUCAAUGAUCAAUUUGACUAGUAAAAUGGUAGACUGCUAUUUACUUCAAGACAGCAGAAUACACAAAUUUAUGUAAUAACUUUCAUUUGUUAAAACAAUUUGCAUAAAUGCACAGUUUCUUGUAACAGUUUUAAGAUUUUAUAUCUUUAUGUUGUCUGAUAUACCUUGAAUGUUUACAUGUCCCAAAUUUCAACCAGUCACAGGCAAAGUUAACAUAUAUAACAUCCAACAUAUGUCAAACUAUAAAAAAAAAUUUGAAAACUAUGAACUAUAAAUGAGUCCUUAGUACUAUGACAUAUGGAAUUCUAUUAAAACUGAGCAACUAUAUCAAUCUAUAAGACAUUUACAAUAGAUAUUCCAGCACAAAACAUUUCAAACAAACAACAGAGUACAAUACUUCAUAUAAUUAUGCAAUGGAAUAAAACUGCAAACAUAUCAAAUUGUCAUUCCUCAGAAAUAAAUACUCACACAAGCAUUGUACAGCAAAAAGCCUGUGCAGAUUAAUGUACAUAAUGGUGCUGUUAUUGACAGGUUCUUGCCCAAAUUCAGAUAUCAGAAGGACUGUGAGGAUAUUGCCCAAAUUCAGAUAUCAGAAGGACUGUGGGUAUAUUGCCCAAAUUCAGAUAUUGCAGGACUGUAAGGUUCUUAUCCAAAUUUAGAUAUUACAGGAUUGUAAGGUUCUUGUCCAAAUUUAGAUAUUACAGGACAGUACGGUUCUUGUCCAAAUUUAGAUAUUAUAGGACUGUAAGGUUCUUAUCCAAAUUUAGAUAUGACAGGACUGUACGGUUCUUGUCCAAAUUUAAUUAUUACAGGACUGUACGGUUCUUGCCCAAAUUCAGAUAUUGCAGGUAAGGUUCUUAUCCAAAUUUAGAUACAGGAUUGUAAGGUUCUUGUCCAAAUUUAGAUUUUACAGGACUGUAAGGUUCUUGUCCAAAUUUAGAUAUUACAGGACUGUAAGGUUCUUGUCCAAAUUUAGAUAUUACAGGACUGUACGGUUCUUGUCCAAAUUUAGAUAUUACAGAUCUGUACGGUUCUUGCCCAAACUCUGAGAAAAAAGGUCUGGUUUAAAGGGUAUAAUAUGAUGAAUACCUAUACAAAUUCAUUUUCACUGAGCCUUGAUACUGUAGAAAGUGGAAACGGUAAUAAAACAGUGAGUACCCAUUAAAUUUCAUUUGGCAUUUCUUUUAAAUUCUAUAUAAAAUUAUUUGUCAAAUAACUCUGCUAAGCAAAAUAAUUUUCAACAAGCUGCCAGGCUAUAAAAUUAAGUAUGUUCUACAUUUUGAUCAAUAUAAAAUAUUUUGGUAAAGCAACAAACUCAUCUUUAAUAUAUGUAUAGAGCAUUUGAUGAAAAAGUGAUCACAAAGUGAAAUACAGUCUCUACUGAUUCCUCAAAGGGCAGAAAAAUUCCCUGCCCAGCUUGAGCAAGGAGAAGUACAAUUUAAACAUUGGAGUACUUCGGAAGUAUUACGCAAAAUGCAUUUAAAAUGACUUCCUUUCAGUUUUUUAAAUAUAAUUCAUAGUUGUAAUGUUAAUGGGAUGAAUGUAAAAAUUCCAUUUUAAAACUCAUAACUUUACUUUGCUCUUCAUUGUGCAAUGGCAUUUUUGGCCCUUAAGGGAACUGAGAAAUUUCUUAAAACCUAAAUUGCUGUAACAUUGUGAAAUCAAACUUAAGUCUUCAGCAAAAGCUCUAUAAUGUUAUGAUACAUGUGGUAAUGACCAAGUGUUCAGAUAAAAAGUUGACUUUUUUUAUGAUGGAAAAAAUCUGAUGUGAAUUUGUUUUUAAAAGGCUGGUGUAUUUGACAGUAGUUUCUAAUCUAAUUUUUGUGUUUCAUUGUGAGAUACAUUGGUCAGUUAUCAUCCUUUAAAUAUGCUACAUAUAAAAGUUAUAAUCUCCCUUUUGUUUUUUCUUCAAAGAGGAGGUUGUUGUACUCUUUGGUCCUUCUUCACUUGCAACAAUCAAUAUAAUUGAAAACAUAAGUUUUUAAGUGCACUGUGUUAAAUUUAUUUGUACAUUACUUGAUUAAAAAAAAUGUAAUUUUAUAUGAAUUAACAGUGAUUAAAUAUCAAUGAAACUCAAACUUUUUUCUCUGUGAUGAUCUCUCAAAAAUAUUUUGUGAUUUUUCCAAUCAUAGAAGUUUAAAAACCCAAAGAAAAAAGGUGAAAGGUUGAUAUAUUGGACUUAUACUGAUCCUAAAUAUUUAAUGAUGGACCCACUAAAGCCUCUGGUCAGGGAAUAUGUUGAGCACUGAAAAUUAUAAUGCUCCAUGUUCUCAAGGGAGUUAGCUCAAACACAACCUAUUAAAGGGAGAUAAUUAACAAAUGAUUCUCUGGUAAAUAUAUAUGCAAGAACAGAUAUUUCUUCAUCAAAUGAGUAUCAUAUUUGGGAUUAAUAGGGAAUAUACGGUCUGUUUGGACUGUAAAAAAUUAAACAUACAUUGAAAAUGUUAUUUAUAGAAAAUCAAUUUCAACUGUCUUGAGGUAGCUAAAUAUUUAUUAUGCUUCCAAACAUAACAUUCGACAAUAUAAAGUUUGCAUAUUAUUUAUAAAUAUGAAUGUGUGAAAAUGAAAUGUUUUAUGUAGAUAAUGAUUGAAUUAAAUAAUAUAAUAUAAAUUUUACAGCUAUUAAGACAUUCAAUGGUUAACUUGUACAAGAUUUAUGUUAGUAUAUUCAUAUGUACAAAUGUAGUUUAUAAGUGAGGGCAUGUUAGCCAUGUACACAAGCAUUUAAGCAUGAUUAUUUGAUUUAAAUGUAUGAUAUAUAAUAAAUAAAUUAUUCUUGCCUAAUUUCAAGACUCAGACUGCAGUUAUUAAUAACAUUUACUCUAGACAUUAAUUAGUAAUGUUAAUAAUCUAACAUUCCCCACUUAAAUUUUGUUUCAUAUUUACUUUUACUCAAGUUCAUUUGGAAAACAAAGUGUAACGCAUGUUUUAAUAAUAGACCUGUUUUGAUUGUCAAAUGACAAAACAUCAUGUGUUAUUCAUUUCCAUUCCAUAAGUGAUUUUGUUUCAAUAAAAUUCUAAUCAAGAAAGCUACUUGUUAAAAAUUGACUUGAAAUUAAAAUUUUGCCAAAAAGAAUUACUUUUUCUUUAUUAAACACCAAAUAAUUUGCCUGUUUGAAAUUUUCAGUUUAAAAUUAUUAAUGUUUUUGUUUGACUUUAGGGUUAUUCCAUUCAAAAGAAUGUGGGAGAGUAAGAUGGGAGUGAAAUCCUCUAUACAGCCAAUUCACUCUCAUUUUAGUAAAUUGUAAUAUAAACCUUCAAAAAUAAUGGAACUGUCCAAAAAUAAAUCUUCCCAUCCUAACCUCACAUAUUCAUUAUAAUGGAAUCACCCUUAUUAAACAGACAUCAUAUAUUUUG